rnacentral:rRNA from 1 species
CUACGGAAGGCAGCAGUGGGGAAUUUUGGACAAUGGGGGCAACCCUGAUCCAGCAAUGCCGCGUGAGUGAAGAAGGCCUUCGGGUUGUAAAGCUCUUUUGUCAGGGAAGAAAAGGCUGCGGCUAAUAUCCGCGGUUGAUGACGGUACCUGAAGAAUAAGCACCGGCUAACUACGUGCCAGCAGCCGCGGUAAUACGUAGGGUGCAAGCGUUAAUCGGAAUUACUGGGCGUAAAGCGUGCGCAGGCGGUUUUGUAAGUCUGUCGUGAAAUCCCCGGGCUUAACCUGGGAAUUGCGAUGGAGACUGCAAGGCUGGAGUCUGGCAGAGGGGGGUAGAAUUCCACGUGUAGCAGUGAAAUGCGUAGAGAUGUGGAGGAACACCGAUGGCGAAGGCAGCCCCCUGGGUCAAGACUGACGCUCAUGCACGAAAGCGUGGGGAGCAAACAGGAUUAGAUACCCGGGUAG